AUUACCUCCUGUUUUAACAGUGUGCUACUGCAGUGACAUUAGGCACUGUUUUUGCUGCCUAGACUUUUCAGCUAUAUGUUUCCGUAGAGCUUAAACAAUGAUUAAUAUCUGGUUCUAGCUAAGUAACAACUUUUCAUGAUGGAACAAAAAGAAAAAACAAAAUACAAAAUGAUUCUACCUCACUUCUAUUGUCUAGAAUCCCAAGAGUUAAGCAAAAAUGCACUUACAGCUCUCAGAAACCACCCCAAACUGUGAUGCCUGCUCUCAUUAAUGUCAGCUCCAGGAAGGACAUGCUGCUGUUAUAUUCAGGCUGUCUCCAUUCCAAUGAAGGUCUGUGCUCUUAGGAUUACUCCUGGAAAUGAAUUUAUGUCUCAGUGUUGUGUCAAGCUAAAUAUUUUCAUGCAGCUUCCUGUGUUCUUGGUAACAAAAGAUCUUGAGACUGCAACUUACAAGUCCUCUGAGUGCAGUAAUAAAUUCUGUUUGAAGAA